CCUACGGGAGGCUGCAGUCGAGAAUCAUUCACAAUGGGGGAAACCCUGAUGGUGCGACGCCGCGUGGGGGAAUGAAGGUCUUCGGAUUGUAAACCCCUGUCAUGUGGGAGCAAAUUAAAAAGAUAGUACCCCAAGAGGAAGAGACGGCUAACUCUGUGCCAGCAGCCGCGGUAAUACAGAGGUCUCAAGCGUUGUUCGGAAUCACUGGGCGUAAAGCGUGCGUAGGCUGUUUCGUAAGUCGUGUGUGAAAGGCGCGGGCUCAACCCGCGGACGGCACAUGAUACUGGGAGACUAGAGUAAUGGAGGGGGAACCGGAAUUCUCGGUGUAGCAGUGAAAUGCGUAGAUAUCGAGAGGAACACUCGUGGCGAAGGCGGGUUCCUGGACAUUAACUGACGCUGAGGCACGAAGGCCAGGGGAGCGAAAGGGAUUAGAUACCCCAGUAGUC
rnacentral:rRNA from 1 species